rnacentral:lncRNA from 1 species
AAAAAAACUGUUAUAUACUCUGUGUGAAUAAUGAAUGAAUGAGGGAGGACAAGGGCUUGCGCUUGUCCUCCAGUUUGUAGCUCCACGGCGAAAGCUACGGAGUUCAAGUAGACCCUCACCUGCGGUUCCUUGGCGACCUCAUAAGGCUUAAGGCAGCAUCAGGCAUAGCUUGAUCUGAGCCGCAAGUUUAUACCGGCCUGCCAAUGGUAAGAGGAGCCCAGGUCCCCUCAGGGGGAGUGGCCAGGCAGGCAUCUGACUGAUCCCAUCACAGGAAACCCUCUCCUUGUCUGUCUAAGAAAAAAAAAAAAGGAAGAAACUGUCAUAACUGUUUACAUGCCCUAAAGUCAACUGUUUGUUUUAUAUUGAUUGUUCUGUUCAGUGUCUAUUGUCUUGUUAGUAGUUGUCAAAGUUUUGCAUGUCAAGACGUUGAUAUUGCCCAAGACGUCUAAGUAAAAACUUCUUCAAAGUCCUUAGUGCUGAUUUUUUGUCACAGGAGGUUAAAUUUCUCAUCAAUCAUUUAGGCUGACCACCACAGUCCUGUCUUUUCUGCCAGAAGCAAGUCAAGUGUUGUUACAAGAACAAGUGUGAAAAACAUUUGCCUGAUUAAGAUUUCUAGCACCAUGAAAGUUGUAAGUAUUUAGAUCGCCAUACUCCUCGUCCAAGUGAUUAGACCUCCUCUAAAUAAACCAGUAGUGAGUUCAAAACAGCCACCCUGCAGAUUUCCUUGCUCACCUCUCUUGUCAUUCUGUAACUUUUCCUGUGCCCUUAAGUAAAACACUGUGUAAAGAAACGUACGCCCGUACUGCUUUACUUCGUUAAGAUUCUUACUCUGUUCCUCUGUGGCUACUCUCCCAUCUUCAAAAUGAUCAGAGUAGUCCUUUUCCACCUUGUCCCUGCCCCCUAUCCCGCACAUCUCGUUUUACGGUGCGACAGCAAGUUUACCGUCUCCAGGACUUGGCUCUGCUCUCACUCUUUAAACCCUUAAAAGAAAAAGCUAAGUUUAGGCUAUUUGCGUUUAAGUCAUAAAGACACCAAAAGUAUUUAAAGUGCAGAUCUAGAAGAAGAAGAAGAACGCCUAGAUCAAACUGACCCAGAAGAUCUCAGGCUGGCUCUAGUCCUCCUCCCUCAAUCUUAAAGCUACAGCAAUGUAGCAAGUAGUAUUAGCUGUUGUAAGUUUUUCUGCUCUUUCUAGUCAUAUUUAUACUGUUCUUUCACUACUCCAGUCCCCCAAGAAAUAAGUUUCUCUGUCCAUGCUAAGUUUAAUAUCUAUGCUCCAAUCUUAUUAAAUUGCCUUCAAAAAAAAAAAAGAAAGAAACACUUCCUCCCAGCCUUGUAAAGUUAAAGCCCUCUCCAAUGUAUGCUGCAGAAUUUUCCUCUCAGUUCCUCAGAGGAUUAUAAAGUCCGCCUUAAAAAAGGCAAGCUCCAGACACUGUGCAAAAUAAAAUGGCCAAAGUUUAGAGUCGAGUGGCCCCCUGAAGGGCCAUUGAACCUCACAAUUGUUCAAGCUGUGUGGCAGGUUGUUACUGAAACUCCUAGCCACCCUGAUCAGUUUCCCUACAUUGAUCAAUAGCUAAGUUUAGUCAGGAGCCCCCUCCAUGGCUCCGUUCAUGCGCCAUUCAUAAUUCUACCUCCAAGGUCCUCCUAAGCCAGACCGCAUUUUCGCCUCAACCCUCAGCCGGUUCAGCUCCCCCUGUACUGCCUCCCUCUGAAGAAGAGGAGAGUCUCCCUCACCCAGUCCCACCGCCUUACAACCAGCCUUCUCCCUUAAAGUUAUCCCAUGUCUGCUCGACGACGUCCCCUGUAGGCUCGCCACCCAUUGCCUCUCAAUCAUGACCGUGGCAGGAAGAAGUAGCCCCUCUACUACCACUGAGAGAGGCACAAGUCCCUCCAGGUGACGAGCGCUCAGCACCCUUCUUAGUUUGUGUUCUUUUUCUACUUCUGACUUAUAUAAUUCGAAAACCCAUAAUCCUCCCUUCUCUGAAAAGCCCCAGGCUUUGACCUCUCUGACAGUCUGUACUCCGGACUCAACCCGCCCACCUAAGAUGAUUGCCAACAGCUCCUUUUAACCCUUUUCACCUCUGAAAAGAAGGAACGUAUCCAAAAAGAAGCCAAAAAGUACUUCCUCACAUCAGCCAACGGACCGGAAGAAGAAGUUAGAGACCUCCUUGAGGAGGUCUUUCCCUCUACCCGGCCUAACCAGAACCCAAAUUCCUCAAGUAGAAAGGGAGCUUUAGACGAUUUUCACCGGUAUCUCCUCGCAAGUAUUAAAAGAGCCGCUCAGAAACCCAUAAACUUGUCUAAGACGACCGAAGUUGUCCAAAGGCCCGAUAAGUCACCAAGAACGUUUUUAGAGCGCCUCCAGGAGGCUUAUCGGAUUUACACCCCUUUGGACCCGGCAGCUCCCGAAAAUAGCCGUGCUCUUCAUUUAGCAUUUGUGGCUCAGGCAGCCCCGGAUAUUAAAAAGAAACUCCAAAAACUAAAAAGAUUUGCUAGAAUAAAUAUCAGUCAGCUUUUAGAAAUAGCCCAAAAAGUUUUUGACAAUCAAAAGUUUAAAAAACAAAAACAAGCAACACAGGCAGCUGAAAAGGCCGCUGAUAAAGCAUUCAAAAGACAAACAAAAAUCUUAGUGGCAGCUAUCCAAGAAGUACAGAAUGAAAUAGCCUGUUAAUUUAGCAUUAACUGAAGCCCCUGCUUUAGCCCUCCCUAAUAUCUCCAUAAAAGCCAAGGAGUUGCUAAAGACGUGCUUACUCAGACUCUAAGACCCUAAAGACGCCCAGUGGCCUAUUUAUCUAAGAGGCUAGAUCCUGUGGCCUCUAGAUGGCCAAGUUGUCUGCGAGCCAUAGCGGCUACAGCAAGCCUGGCCCAAGAAGAUGAUAAGUUAACUCUAAGCCAAAAUUUAACACUUACAGCUCCUCACGCCUUAAAGACCUUACUACAAAAUGCUUCUGGCAAAUAGAUGUCAAAUGCUCGCAUCUUGCAGUAUCGAAGUUUACUGUUAGAUCAGCCUCGUUUGACUUUCUCUCCCACAAAGUGUUUCAAUCCAGCUACACUACUUUCUGACUCAGACUGCACUAUUCCUGCUCAUGACUGUCAAGAACUGUUAGAAACUAUCGAAACUGGCCGAUCUGAUCUUCAAGCUGUGCCCCUAGAAAAGGCAGAUGCCGCCUUGUUCACAGACAGUAGCAGCUUCCUCAAGCAGGAAGUAUGAAAAGUCAGUGCAGCUGUUACCACGGAGACAGAUGUGUUGUAAGCUCAAGCUUUACCAGCGAACACCUCAGCACAAAAGGCUCAAUUCAUCGCCCUCACUCAGGCUCUCUGAUAAAGUACAAGAUAUUAUCCUGCCACUUGUUUGAGGAGCCCUUCCCAAUCCAAUUCCUGACCAGAAAAAGUCCUGCCAUUCAUUCCAGCCAGGAGACCUAGCAUUUGUUAAAAAGUUCCAAAAAGAAAGACUCACUCCUGCUUAGAAAAGACCUCACACCGUCAUCCUCACGACUCCAACUGCUCUGAAAGUAGGCGGCAUUCCUGCUAGAUUCAUCACUCCCGCAUCAAAAAGUCCAACAGAGCCCAGCUCAAAACAUAAGUCCCCAGGCCUAAGUCAGGCCCCUUAAAACUGCACCUAAGUCAGGUGAAGCCAUUAGAUUCAUUCUUUUUGUCUACCUCACUUAUUUGUUUUUGCCAGUUACAUCCUCUGUGCCUUCCUACUCCUUUCUCCUCACCUCUUUCACAACAGGACGUGUAUUUGCAAACACCACUUAGAAGGUCCGUACCUCCAAGGAAGUCUCCUUUGCAGUUGAUUUAUUUGUACUAUUCCCAAAGCCAGCCCACACCCACAAAAACAACACCAUCUGCCAGUCCCAGGAGCAGGAAGUGUCGACCUUGCAGCAAGAUUCAGACACUCCAAGAGCCAAACUAAUUGCAGAAGCUCCAAAAGUGCAGAAAAAAAGACUCCAAAAUGUUGACUUUUACCUCUGUCCUAGAAAUCACCCUGACGCUAGCUGUCAAGAUGCUUAUCAGUUUUUCUGCCCUGAUUAGACAUGUGUAACUUUAGCCACCUACUCUAAAAGAUCAACCAGAUCUUCAACUCUUUCCAUAACUCGUGCUUCUCAUCCUAAAUUAUGUACUAGAAAAAACUGUAAUCCUCUAACUGUCCAUGACCUUAAUUCAACUCAAUAGUAUCAUGGCAUGUCAUGAACAUUAAGAUUUUAUAUCCCAGGAUUUAAUGUUAAGUAUAUGUUCACCAUCCAAAAAAACCCUAGUCUCAUAAAGCCCACCCAAGUCAAUCAGGCCUUUAACUGAUCUAAGUAACCCUAUGUUCCAGGAACACCCUGACAAAGUUGAUUUAACUGUUCCUCCACCUUUCUUAGUCAUAAAAGAUACACUCCAAAAAGUGCAAGAAAAUCUAGAAAAGCGCCAACAAGAACAAGAAAGUAACAUCCCCUAGUAUCAACGCAUGUUCAACUAGAACCCAUAGCUAACCACUCUAAUUACUAAGUUAGCUGGACCCCCUCCCCAUCCUACUAAUAAGUCUAAUUUUGGGGCAUUGUAUAUUAAGUUAGUUUCUUAAUUUUGUAAAACAACGAAUAGCUUCUGUCAAACUUAUGUAUCUGAAGACUCAAAAUAACCCCCUUUUUAUAACUGAAGAAUCAACGAUUUGAUUCCCCAAAAACACAAGUGAGGAAUGUAAUGCCCAACCAUGUUUUUACUCACCCUGUUUUUAGACUCUCCCUUUCUUUUAAUGACCUAGCCUUGUUUCCACCUGAAUUGACUCUCCCUUAGCUAAGAGAGCCAGACAGAUUCCAUCUUGGCUCUUUCACUGGCAGCCCCUUCCUCAGGGACUUAACUUGUGCAAGCUGACUCCCAGCACAUCGAAGAAUGCAAUUAACUGAUAAGAUACUGUGGCGAGCAAUAUCCGCAGUUCCCAGGAAUUCAUCCGAUUGAUAACGCCCAAAGCCCCGCGUCUAUCACCUUAUAAUAGUGUUAAAGGCCCUAGACCUAAAACUGUUUACUUUCCUGUAACAAUUUAUCCUUUUAACUUUUUUGUCUACUUUACUUAUGUAAAAUUGUUUUAACUAGAACCCCCUCCCCUUUCUAAACCAAAGUAUAAAAGAAAAUCUUAGCCCCUUCUUCGAAGCCGAGAGAACUUUAAACGUUAGCCGUUUCUUUGCCGCCGGCUAAGUAAACAGACUCUUAAUUCAUCUCAAAGUGUAGCGUUUUCUCAAACUCGCUCAAGAACAACACAUCCAGCAGGCAAGUCAUCCACUCUAAAAUGCCAUCCUGGGGUAGUGAAGAUGAUGUUGCUGGAAAUAUCCUUAAAUGGCAUGUGGAUGAGUUCCCCCAGAGGCAUACAUGUUGAGCUAAGAACUUUGCUGAUGAAGGGUACAAGUUGAAGGGGUUU